AAAUUAAGGCAGCAUUUUAGUAUGCACAUAAAUUGAGAUAUAUGGAUCCAACAUGUCUGCUUUCACUGAUGAUUUGGUGGGGACUUUGAUUUGGGAACAUGGUUCUGACUGAAAAUU